GGGGAUGUUUUGGUUUUGACAGCAUCGAUGCGGGACAGUAAGCACGCCGGGCGUUGGGGGAUUGCCCGUUAAUCUCAUUCUCCGAACAUUAGUUGGCAACAACAAUUACGCACUCGCUGCCUAAUCGACCAAGUCGCUUAGCUUAAUCGAGUCCGCCAAGGCUGCGGGCCGACGAGUAUCCCUCCGGGCUUUAAGCCGGUUAUGACCGGGUUCAGGGGUAUCAUCUAAACCGGAUGCGCGGGGUAAUUCCUCUGAAUCCCCGUCAAGACGCAGAGGAUAAGUCAGCGGUAGCCCGUCUUCCGGCAGCCUCUCUCCGACAACCAAAGGAAGAAUAAGCGUGUAGAAAGCUGCCUUGUGCGUUGUUUGGACGGCGGUUCGAGUCCGCCCAUCUCCACGA
rnacentral:tmRNA from 1 species